UGGGGAAUAUUGCACAAUGGGCGCAAGCCUGAUGCAGCCAUGCCGCGUGUAUGAAGAAGGCCUUCGGGUUGUAAAGUACUUUCAGCGGGGAGGAAGGGAGUAAAGUUAAUACCUUUGCUCAUUGACGUUACCCGCAGAAGAAGCACCGGCUAACUCCGUGCCAGCAGCCGCGGUAAUACGGAGGGUGCAAGCGUUAAUCGGAAUUACUGGGCGUAAAGCGCACGCAGGCGGUUUGUUAAGUCAGAUGUGAAAUCACCGGGCUCAACCUGGGAACUGCAUCUGAUACUGGCAAGCUUGAGUCUCGUAGAGGGGGGUAGAAUUCCAGGUGUAGCGGUGAAAUGCGUAGAGGUCUGGAGGAAUACCGGUGGCGAAAGCGGCCCCCUGGACGAAGACUGACGCUCAGGUGCGAAAGCGUGGGGAGCAAACAGG
rnacentral:rRNA from 1 species